rnacentral:tmRNA from 1 species
GGGGACGUACUGGCUUUUGACAGGACGUUUGAUGGAAACAGGUUGCGAACUCGAGCGCUGUUCUCGGUUAUCAACGAGCAAAUUAAAAUGAAUGCUACAGAUAAUGUUGUAGUAGCUGAUUUCUCAAGAGCAAGAGCUCUUGCUGCUUAAUAGAGCAGUUCAGCCUCUCAUAGUUGUCCAGCUUGCCGAUGCUAUGGGACCACCAUGCAAGACGCAGUACAUUCAUGAUAGUAGAUGUAUCAAGAUUAACUAUCAAAGUGCGUAACACUUAAAACUGCUUUGUUAUGAUUGUAGAGGUUUGUUUUUUCCUUGAUUGUAACGAGAGAAAUAAAAACUACGUUCGUAGAGAUUUGUUUUGAUCCGUUUUGGACAGGGGUUCGACUCCCCUCGUCUCCACCA